rnacentral:misc_RNA from 1 species
AUUCGAUAAAAUUUUGUCUAUUAAGGGAGGAGGUAUUUGGAGGUAAAGGAAGAAUUUUUAAAGUAAUAAGAUUGUUUGAGAAGAAGUUUGUAAACCACACUUUUUCAGUCUACCAAAUGGGUAGGUUUGGAAGGUUUUCAUACUUAAAUUAUUUUAUUUUACCCUACCUUACCUUUAAUUGGUGUGGUCUGAUUGAGAUCCCAUAUGGGGGGGCG